rnacentral:rRNA from 1 species
UACGUAGGGUGCAAGCGUUAAUCGGAAUUACUGGGCGUAAAGCGUGCGCAGGCGGCUUUGCAAGACAGAUGUGAAAUCCCCGGGCUUAACCUGGGAACUGCAUUUGUGACUGCAUGGCUGGAGUGCGGCAGAGGGGGAUGGAAUUCCGCGUGUAGCAGUGAAAUGCGUAGAUAUGGCGGAGGAACACCGAUGGCGAAGGCAAUCCCCUGGGCCUGCACUGACGCUCAUGCACGAAGGCGUGGGGAGCAAACAGG